rnacentral:rRNA from 1 species
UACGAAGGGGGCUAGCGUUGCUCGGAAUUACUGGGCGUAAAGCGCACGUAGGCGGCUCCUUAAGUCGGUGGUGAAAUCCUGGAGCUCAACUCCAGAACUGCCUUCGAUACUGGGAAGCUCGAGUCCGGGAGAGGUGAGUGGAACUGCGAGUGUAGAGGUGAAAUUCGUAGAUAUUCGCAAGAACACCAGUGGCGAAGGCGGCUCACUGGCCCGGUACUGACGCUGAGGUGCGAAAGCGUGGGGAGCAAACAGG